CCCAAAAUGGGGACCGUCCCUAUAAAAUCGGGACAUCUAGUCACCCUAGAUAUAACGUGCACAAACCUGGUGAACACAAAAAUGUGAAAGCUGCUUGGCACAGAAUCAGAAAUGUGUUGAUACUGAACAGGGGAAUUGGUUCUUAAUGUUGAGCUUCCUUUACUCCUCAGUUUGGAUUGGAUUGGAUUGUGGAUAUGUUGCAGUACCUGGAAUGGAGGGAGGGGUGGAUUUGUGCUGUUGCACCGGUGGCCCCUAUUGGCCAUUAACAACAAGAGGUUGCAUGCUGAAAAGAACUCCACUCCCUUUUUUCCUUGGCUGGAAGGUGCUUGGUUACCUAGUGUACUCCAGUGAAAUUUCCAGAGGACAGUUGCUGGGAGGUGAGAGCCCUAUUAGCUACCAUGAUCUCUCUGAGAGAAGCAUAUGCAAAA